rnacentral:rRNA from 1 species
GAGUUUGAUCGUGGCUCCAGAUUGAACGCUGGCGGCAUGCCUUACACAUGCAAGUCGAACGGCAGCACGGGAGCUUGCUCCUGGUGGCGAGUGGCGAACGGGUGAGUAAUGCAUCGGAACGUAUCCUGGAGUGGGGGAUAACGUAGCGAAAGUUACGCUAAUACCGCAUAUUCUGUGAGCAGGAAAGCGGGGGACCUUCGGGCCUCGCGCUCCUUGGAGCGGCCGAUGUCGGAUUAGCUAGUUGGUGAGGUAAAGGCUCACCAAGGCGACGAUCCGUAGCAGGUCUGAGAGGAUGAUCUGCCACA